rnacentral:rRNA from 1 species
UGGGGAAUAUUGCACAAUGGGCGCAAGCCUGAUGCAGCCAUGCCGCGUGUAUGAAGAAGGCCUUCGGGUUGUAAAGUACUUUCAUCGGGGAGGAAGGUGUUGAGGUUAAUAACCUCAGCAAUUGACGUUACCCGCAGAAGAAGCACCGGCUAACUCCGUGCCAGCAGCCGCGGUAAUACGGAGGGUGCAAGCGUUAAUCGGAAUUACUGGGCGUAAAGCGCACGCAGGCGGUCUGUCAAGUCGGAUGUGAAAUCCCCGGGCUCAACCUGGGAACUGCAUUCGAAACUGGCAGGCUAGAGUCUUGUAGGGGGGGGUAGAAUUCCAGGUGUAGCGGUGAAAUGCGUAGAGAUCUGGAGGAAUACCGGUGGCGAAGGCGGCCCCCUGGACAAAGACUGACGCUCAGGUGCGAAAGCGUGGGGAGCAAACA